UACAGAGGUCUCGAGCGUUUGUUCGGAUUCAUUGGGCGUAAAGGGCGCGUAGGCGGCUUGAUAAGCGUGCGGUGAAAGCCCGGGGCUCAACCCCGGGUCGGCCGUGCGAACUGUCGAGCUGGAGCACUGUAGAGGCAGGUGGAAUUCCGGGUGUAGCGGUGGAAUGCGUAGAGAUCCGGAAGAACACCGGUGGCGAAGGCGGCCUGCUGGGCAGUGGCUGACGCUGAGGCGCGACAGCGUGGGGAGGCAAACAGG
rnacentral:rRNA from 1 species